CGCCCGCGCCGGCCCUGGAGUCGCCGGUGUCGCCGCCCUGCCCGCGGGCCCGCCCUCCUGGCCCAGCCCAGGGCCCUGGGAGCUAUUUUGAAAGUGACCCUGGGCUGGGGCGCCGGGGCGAGCGCGGCGGCGCGGAACCAUGACAGAAGAUGACCGAGGCGGCGCUGGUGGAGGGCCAGGUCAAGCUGCGGGACGGCAAGAAGUGGAAGAGUAGGUGGCUGGUGCUGCGCAAGCCGUCGCCCGUGGCAGACUGCCUGCUGAUGCUGGUCUACAAGGACAAGUCGGAGCGCUCCAAGGGCCUGCGGGAGCGCAGCAGCCUGACACUAGAGGACAUCUGCGGGCUGGAGCCCGGCCUGCCCUACGAAGGCCUGGCCCACACGCUGGCCAUCGUCUGCCUGUCCCAGGCUGUCAUGCUGGGCUUCGACAGCCACGAGGCCAUGUGUGCGUGGGAUGCCCGGAUCCGCUAUGCGCUAGGCGAGGUGCACAGGUUCCAUGUGACAGUGGCUCCAGGCACCAAGUUGGAGAGCGGCCCGGCCACCCUGCACCUCUGCAAUGACAUCCUCGUCUUGGCCAGGGACAUCCCCCCGGCUGUCACGGGGCAGUGGAAGCUGUCCGACCUCCGGCGCUACGGGGCCGUGCCGAGCGGAUUCAUCUUUGAAGGCGGGACCAGGUGUGGGUACUGGGCUGGUGUCUUCUUCCUGUCCUCGGCCGAGGGGGAGCAGAUCAGCUUCCUGUUCGACUGCAUCGUCCGAGGCAUCUCCCCCACCAAGGGCCCCUUUGGGCUGCGGCCGGUUCUCCCAGACCCAAGUCCCCCGGGACCCUCGACUGUGGAGGAGCGCGUGGCCCAGGAAGCCUUGGAAACCCUGCAGCUGGAGAAGCGGCUGAGCCUCCUCUCGCAUGCAGGCCGGCCGGGCAGUGGAGGGGAUGACCGCAGCCUGUCCAGCUCAUCCUCGGAGGCCAGCCACUUGGACGUCAGCGCCAGCAGCCGGCUCACCGCAUGGCCAGAGCAGUCCUUGUCGUCGGCCAGCACGUCGCAGGAGGGGCCUAGACCAGCAGCUGCCCAGGCCCCCGGGGAAGCCAUGCUGGGUGCCUCAAGGCCACCUCCCAAGCCGCUGCGGCCACGGCAGCUGCAGGAGGUCGGCCGCCAGAGCUCCUCGGACAGCGGCAUCGCCACUGGCAGCCACUCCUCCUACUCCGGCAGCCUCUCGUCCUAUGCGGGCAGCAGCCUGGACGUGUGGCGGGCCACGGACGAACUGGGCUCACUGCUCAGCCUGCCAGCAGCCGGGGCGCCCGAGCCCAGCCUGUGCGCCUGCCUGCCUGGGGCCGUCGAGUACCAGGUGCCCACCUCCCUGAGGCCCCACUACGACACACCACGCAGCCUUCGCCUGGUUCCCAGGGACCACAGCCCCGCCUCGCAGGGCAGCCCCGGCGACAGUGCGGCCGGGGACUCAGGCGGCCAGACGUCCGCCGGGUGUCCCUCUGGCUGGCUGGGCACGAGACGGCGGGGCCUGGUGAUGGAGGCCCCCCAGGGCAGCGAGGCCACACUGCCCAGCCCGGCCCCCGGAGAGCCCUGGGAAGCAGGCAGCCCCCACGCGGGGCCAUCCCCGGCUUUCUUUUCGGCAUGUCCAGUCUGUGGAGGACUCAAGGGAGUGGCCGCCUCAGCCCCGGGACCCGUGACAGCACAUUCAGGUAGGCACCUGGAGCCGGUCCCCCAGAGCUCCGGGACAGGGAGGUGGGAGUCUGGGUGGGCGCAGAUGGCAGAGUUUGGCUAGAUGGGGAUGGCGGGGGCCCACAGCCAGCGGGAAUGUGGGCAAUGGGGUGAAAGUGGGUGUUGGGUAACAGUGGAUGUUGGGUGAUAGGUGGCAGUGGUUGCUGGCUGGCAGUGGGUGUUGGGUGGCAGUGGGCAGUGGGGGUGAGUCCCAUCCCAGGUGUGGACAGCAGGGCGGUGGGUAGAGGGCAGGCUGCUGGCUCCGUGUGGCCUGGACGAGUGUAGUCUGUCUCAGAAGCACCUGCUGAGAGCGGCCAGUGGGCAGCUGGACGAUGGACUGAAGGUUUGGAGAGACAGACUGGGGUCCGUGCGUCCCCAGGCCCGGAGUGUGGACCUGUUUCUGGGAGGGGGCAUGGCAGGAAGGCAGUCAGGGUUGGGGUCCAGGAGCCCCAGCUCAGGAGGAAGGGCUGUGUCCUCAGAGAGCGGAGGGGACCUGUGGAGGCUGGGCUGGUGGUAAGCGACUUAGUGAGGGGGCAGGGCAUUGGUGCCCUGGCAGGUGCAGUUUUGGGGCCAGGUGGGGAGGGAGGGCCAGGCAGGGAGGCAGUGGGAAGGUGCCGGUUCCCAGGGUCUCCCUAGAGAAGCCUGGCAGUCACUGGGGACAGAGCCCUGCUGAAGGUUGGGCAAGGCUGAGAGAGGCUGGAGGUGAGGCGGUUGGCCUGGGGUGGACGGGUGGCAUCAGGGCCAGUUCUGUGCCUCAGUUUCCCUGUGGAGUAGGAACCACUGCAGGCUGAACCUUGGAUUCCUCAAUCUCUUCUUCCCAGGCAGGUGGCACCUACAGCGGGGGGCAGGGUCCAGGCAGACCUGGAGGGGACACCCAGUGUUGGGGGCAGGGUCCAAGCAAGACUGGAGGGGACACCCAGUGUUGGGGGCGGGGCCCAGGCAGGCCUGGAGGGGACACCCGGGGAUAGGGGCAGGGCCACAGGCAGGCAGGGGCAGCUUGGGAAAGCCCCCUUCAGCCAGCCUUGGCCCUGGGCUGGACACUGAUCCCUGCAGUCCAGAGUGCUGAGGCCAGCCCUGCCCCAAGGGUCCACCUGGGCAGCCUGCUGUUGCCUCCCCAAGGCCACCCAUACCCUUCAGAUGUCUUUUACCCAGACACGGGUGCCCUGGGACAGAGGUGUGGGGGUCGAGGGGACAGGCCCAGUAUCUGCUGGAGGAUGUGAACCUUUUCCACAGAGGCCGAGGGCUCGGGAGGGGCGUCCGGGGUCUGUUAUGGGACAGAGGUGAGCCAGGCCCGUGUGGUGGUGUUGGGCCGCCAGCCCAGGGCGGGGUCCGGGAGGAGGGCGCAGAAGUGCCAGUCGAUUCCCGGUUGCUGCUUCACCAAAAGAGUGUCUGAGGUACUGGAAGCCAUGCUCACAGAAGCCAAAGAAAAUCCAAGUCCCGAGGAGGGGACGGGAGGAGGAGCUCUGAGGGCCCUGGAGCCAGUGGCCGUGGGGGAGAUGCAGCUAUGGACACGCCCCCGGCCCAGCGCUGCUUACAGCCCCCGCGCGACUCCAGGUGGUGUUGGGAACCUUUGUCCCCUUUCCCUGCAGUCAGGCCUCAUGCUCCUUCCUGCUUCCACCCUUGCCCCUCACUGCCCACCCUUGGGGGACAGCCUUGGAAGAACGGAUGCGAUCUUAAAACUAGGUACCAGGCUGCAGGGGGGUGUCCAGCCCCACUGUGGGCCAGCCCCGGCCCCACCCCUUGACUUCAAUGCCCCCUUUCCAGACUCCAGGUCCCAGCGCUCCCCUAGCUCUCCCCUAGCUCUCCCCUAGCUCUCCCCUAGCUCUCCCCUAGCUCUCCCCUAGCUCUCCCCAGGCCCUCACCACACCUGCCUCUCCCACCGCCCCUUCUUGGCCUCGGCUCCUCAGCCGUGUCCCCUCCUCCAGGCGGCUAGCCCUGGUGCCCCUGUCCCUGCUGGCCCAGGUGCCUGCCUGGGCACCAGAACUUGGCCACUGUGCUCUGUGGCUCAUCUUGCUGAAGGGGUCCUGGCAUUCUGAGAGGAGACCAGCCCUCUAGGACCACACAUUUGCAGGACGGAGGUCUCCCCAGGGCCUCGGGGCCUGGCAGGGUUGGGGCAGAACUGUGUUGGCUACUUUAGUUCGUGGAAUCAGCCCUGCUGCAGGGAGUGGCGUGGACAAGCAUGAGAGGAGCCAGGCAGCGUGGAUGUCUGCUGCAGGUGCCGGGCAGCAGGUGGCCACAGGAGAACCUGGGUCUGCUGCGGACGCAUCCCUGUGGCAGGGAGGCCCAGCCUUGAGUCAGGCCCCUCCCGUGGACAGGCAGGUGUUUCAGGGAGGCCGACCUGUAGGGCUGUCACCCCCUGGAUCCCAGCCCCCAGCAGAAUUCUGAGGGCUUGGAGUGUGCUGGGGGUAGGGAGCACGUGGGGCAUGGCUGUGUCUUCCAGUCACUGGCUCAGGAGUGUGCUGGGGGUAGGAAGGUCAUCCCAGAUGGGGCUUGGCUGUGUGUCUCAGUCACUGGCUCAGGGAAUGAGGGAGGGGGACUUGCUCUCACCUCCGCUGCUUCACGUGGCUGUGCGAUCCCCCACGAGGUCCUGAUGACAGGAGUGGGAGGAGGCACUGGAGAAUGGGGUCCUUCCUGUAGGACCUCGGUGCCCAUGGUGCGGAGCCCUCAGGCCUGCAGAGGGGUCAGGCCAGUGUGCAUCCAGACCCCUAAGGUGGGAGCCUGCCUCAGGUCCCACCCAGCCAGGCCUGUGGGUCCCCUCCUAUCCCGCUCCUGCUCCGCCCUCCCCAGCACCGAUGGGGUUUGCAGAUGGCACCAUCAGCUAUUAGGAAGGGGGUGGGGACAGGAAGUAGCUCCUAUGAGGGGAGACAGGGUGUGGGGCACCUGGGUGUCCUGGAGGGGAGCAGAGGGAGCGUGGGCCUGUGCGCAGGAGAGGAGGGGUCCCUGGAACCUGCAGCAGGUGGGGCGACCCAGGAGGACAGUGGGGGGCAGGUGCUGGGGGCCAGGACAAAGCAGGGCUGUGCUGGCCCGGGCGGGUGAGGCAGAGAAGGCGCCGGGACAGCCAAGGAGCGGUGGUUGGUGGGGAGAGAGUCGUGAAGGUGCGGGGUGAGUGGCGCAGGGACAGAAGAGUGGGCCUUGGGGGCUUCAUGGGGGGUCAGCAAUUCCUGCAGGAGAGGCGGCACAGUGGAGGGGGCAGUGCUUCCUUCUGCUCUGUGGGUACUUGGACCAGGAGUGGACAGUGUGGGGGUGGCCUCAGGAUGGGGCAGCGCUGGGCCAAAGAUGGAUGGUCCAGGAAAAUGGAGCCAGAACCUCCGCAGGAGAGGCGGCGCG